rnacentral:misc_RNA from 1 species
CACACUGCGCCAUGUCUGUUGGUGUUCGCACCGGCAGGCGUAGCCCAGCCAACCCUUGUCUAUCUCUACCAUUUGUGAAUCCCUCGGCAGGGACGCCUGCCGCCGGGACCCCUAAACCCUUUUGUAUUUAAGCAUUAAAACAAUCUGAAUCUAAACAAAAUUAUUA